GCCGAAGUGGUGGAAUUUGGUAGACACGCUAGAUUCAGGGUCUAGUUCUCGCAAGGGAGUGGGAGUUCGAGUCUCCCCUUCGGCACCA
rnacentral:tRNA from 1 species